AACGAACGCUGGCGGCAUGCCUAACACAUGCAAGUCGAACGAGACCUUCGGGUCUAGUGGCGCACGGGUGCGUAACGCGUGGGAACCUGCCCUUAGGUUCGGAAUAACUCCCCGAAAGGGGUGCUAAUACCGGAUAAUGUCUUCGGACCAAAGAUUUAUCGCCUUUGGAUGGGCCCGCGUUGGAUUAGCUAGUUGGUAGGGUAAAAGCCUACCAAGGCGACGAUCCAUAGCUGGUCUGAGAGGAUGAUCAGCCACACUGGGACUGAGACACGGCCCAGACUCCUACGGGAGGCAGCAGUGGGGAAUUUUGGACAAUGGGCGAAAGCCUGAUCCAGCAAUGCCGCGUGAGUGAUGAAGGCCUUAGGGUUGUAAAGCUCUUUUACCCGGGAUGAUAAUGACAGUACCGGGAGAAUAAGCUCCGGCUAACUCCGUG
rnacentral:rRNA from 1 species